rnacentral:lncRNA from 1 species
UGGGCCACAGCUUCUGCCUGGGACGAUUCUGCUUCUUCUUUCUUUCAUUUUCUUUUCUUUUGUUAGGUAUUUUGGAGAUUCAAUAUAGAGCAACAAGGAGAUUACAUCAAGAAUUUGACAAAGCUCUUGGAGAAUCAAGUCCAUGCUUCAAAAAAGGGUUUUAUCUAUAAACUUGUAUUUUCACAAUUAUUUUGUCAUAUUUGUAAUGUAUUGCUAUAAACAUUCUCCUUUCCAUCAUAUGUAUAAAAUGGGCUAAGUAUUUUGUUGGGAUUUAUGGUAGUAGUUUGACCUAGGUUUAAUUGAUUUUCAAUAUUUGCUAUUUGAUAUUAAAUUGCUUAUUUCCAUGUGUUUCUACUAUUGUAUUUUCAUUUAUGUGGCCAAUGAAUGAAUAUGUUUCGUGAAGUGUACAUAGUUCGAGAGAAAAAUUAUGCAUUUUAGACCAAAUGGUAGAAACUCUAGGUUUGUGUAGAGGAUAGAUAUAUACCUCUAGCCCUAGGUGACCCAAUGAGCUAUUUUCAUAACAAUUUAAUGCGGUUGUUUGGUUGUAAUCAACAUAGAGAUAUAGUAUGUUAAACCAUCAAUUAGGGUUAAUUUCACUCGAGAAAAGUAAUUAGCUAAAAUUGGAAAAUCGGGUCUAAUAUCGUAAAUGAGUAAUUCGUUAAUUAGCAUGUGGAGAAAUUAAUUAGGUGACGGUUAAGCGAAACCAUGAAUCCCAAUCACGUUUUCCUCCAAAAUUCCCAAGAUUUCCAUAUUUUCUUAGUUUGUAUAUUUUUUUCUUUGUUUCUAAAAUCAACUCUUUAUUGUGUGUUUGUUUAUUUUCAUUGUUAGAAUUAAAUUGAUUAAAGUUGUGUAAUUUAAAGUAAACAUUCCUCGAGAGAUCGAAAAUCCGGACUUAAAAGGUUCACUUUAUUACUUGAACGCGACCCGUGCACUUGCGGUAGUAUUUUAGCGAACAAGUUUUUAGCGCCGUUGCCGGGGAAUGUUUUAUUUCAAUUAUCAUCUUUUGUUGAUUCUAAUUUUUACAAGUUUUGUUCUUUUUUCUUUUGCAUAGCUUUUAUACAUUUAUUGUGUAAUUAACUUUUAAUUUUGAUUUCCUUAUGUCUUUAGUGGUGCAUGCUUCGUUCGUGAAGUUUUGAUCUUUUCGAGUUUGAUCCGGAUAUUGGAAAAAAACUUUCCGAAGAAGGUGACGAGAACAAAGGGAAUUGAGAAGGCAACAAUUGAUUGAGAUGGCACACCAAGGGGUUAAUUUGGAACAUAAUGCUCAACCGAAAAAUGUUCUUCGAGGUGGCAUUCCACCGGGUUUUGGUAACCAAUUGGGUAAAGCUCAAGAGCCUAUUGUAAAUGAGGAAGAUAUGCUAUUUGAAGACUUCGUGAACCCACUCGUAGUAGAGAAUGAAUCAAGUAUUGUCUACCCUCCAAAUAGACAUCCAAACUUUCAACUUCGUCCGGAUGUUAUUAGUUUGUUCUCCAAUACCAUUCCAUUCUAUAGAAGGAUUGAUGAGAAUCCUCACUCACAUGUUGCACAAUUCAUCGAGAAUGUUGGAAAUUUUAAAUAUGAAGGCAUAAAUGUGGAGACGGUCCGGUUGAGGUUAUUUGUUCACACAUUGAAGGAUAAGGCAAGGGAAUGGCUUGAGACUCUACCGCCCGGAAGUAUAAAUAGUUGGUUGGAAUUUAUUCAAAAAUUCAUAACCAAAUUCUUUCCACCCUCCCGAGUAGCCAAACUCAAGCAUGACAUAACCACUUUCCAACAAUUCGAAUUUGACAGCUUUCACGAGGAUUGGGAGAGGUUCAAGGAUAUGCUUCGAAAAUGUCCAAAUCAUGGAAUCACAAUGGGGCAACAAGUGAAUUAUUUUUAUGUUGGGUUGACUCCUUCUUGCUGUUCAAAUGUGGAUUCAUCAUCUAAUGGCUCAAUCAAGAAGAAGAGUAUUCGAGAAGCAUAUGAUCUAUUUGAGGUCAUGAGUGAACAAAGUGCUAUGUGGCUGGAUAGAGGUUCACAAAAAGGGGUUGGUGGAGUUUGAGAUGGUGAAGCUUUCUCAAUGGUUCUAGCAAAGAUCGACUCACUAGCAAAGAAGGUAGAAGGACUUUCUACAUCCACCUCGAGCUCUCAUUCCGCUCAUAUGGUACAAUCUCCGCCUAUUUGUGAUAUUUGUGGAGCAAAUCACCCAAGCCCGAGUUGUCCAUUGAUAGGUAGUGGUUCAGCAUCUACCGAGCAAGUGGCAUAUACUCAAAACUUUCAACGCCAAGGGUACAAUCCUUAUUCGUAAACUUAUAACCCCAGCUGGCGAAAUCAUCCGAACUUUUCUUAUGGAAAUAAUCAAAAUGUGCUCAACCCGAGGCCAUAAGAGAAAAAAGAAAGUUGGGAAGAGGCCAUUGCUAAGUUGGCAAACCAUCAAUUGUAAUAUCAAGAACGCAAUGAUGCCUCUUUGAAAAUCUUGGAACAUUAAGUGGGUCAAAUUGCCAAGCUUAUCUCUGAAAGGCAACAAGGGGCAUUGCCUAGCAACACCGAAACAAAUCCAAGGGAGAAUGUACAAGCUAUUACCACUAGAAGUGGGAUGCAAUUGCCCGAAAUCACGGUGUCAUACCCUAAGGGUCAAACCGACAAGGCACCCAUUGAAGAAGAAAGGAUUAUGCAAAAACUUGAUCAAAGGAUGAGAUACUAAUUGAAGAAGAACCGGAGCCAUCAACAUCAAAGGCUCCAAUACCGGUCAAAGCCUAUGUGCCUCCUAUUCCUUUCUCACAAAGGCUUCACAAAUAGAAAUUGGAUGCUCAAUUCGGAAAAUUUUUGGAGGUAUUCAAGAUGCUACACAUAAACAUUCUGUUUGUCGAUGCAUUAGCUCAAAUGUCGAGUAAUGCCAAAUUUAUGAAGGACAUUCUUUCAAACAAAAGGAAACUCAAAGAACAUGAGACGUAAUGCUAACGAAAGAGUGUAGUGCUAUCCUUUAAAAGAAGCUACCACCGAAAAUCAAAGAUCCAAGGAGUUUUACUAUUCCAUGCACUAUUGGAGAUUUAAAUUUUAAUAAAGCUUUAUGUAAUCUUGGUACCAGUAUUAAUUUCAUGCCUUUGUCUAGUUUCAGGAAGCUGGGAUUGGGAGAAGCUAAGGCCACCAUUGUAUCAUUACAAUUGGUUGAUCGAUCAAUUAAAUAUCCUCGGGGUGUCAUUGAGGAUGUACUGGUCAAGGUGGACAAAUUCAUAUUUCCAGCCGAUUUCAUAAUUCUUGACAUGAAAAAGGAUCAUGACAUCCCUAUCAUUUUAGGACGACCAUUUCUUGCCACUGGCUGAGCUUUGAUUGAUGUACAAGAGGGGCAGCUCAUUCUAAGAGUCCAAGAUGAAAAAGUUACAUUCAAUAACUUGAAGGCCAUCAAGUAUCUAUUGGAAUCUGAUUCAUGCCUUCGAGUGGAUGUUAUUGAUCAUGUGGUUGCCAAGUCUUUUUAUUGGCUUUCUAAGGAUCCUCUAGAAACAUGUCUUGUUUAUCCUUCGGCUAUCAAAGAGGAAGAUCCUGAAGUUGAGCAUAUGGUACACUAUUUGGAGGCUACACCUUCUCGGUCUUAUAAGAUAGCACCAAAUUAUGAGGACUCGAAAAAGAGCUCUUCACCACCACUGCCAUCUUUUCAGCAAGCACCUAUACUUAAUUUGAAGCCUCUUCCAUCUCAUUUGAGGUAUACUUAUUUGGGAGAGUCAUCUAUGCUUUCGAUUAUCAUUGCUAAUUUCUUAAAUGAAUUGGAGGAAGAGAAGUUGCUUCGGGUGUUGAGGGAGCACAAGGGAGCCAUUGGUUGGACUAUUGCAGAUAUUAAAGGAAUUAGUCCUUCACUAUGCAUGCACAAAAUCCUUAUGGAGGAUGAUUUCAAACCAUCAGUGGAGCAUCAAAGGCGGUUGAACCCCAACAUGAAAGAAGUGGUAAGAGCCGAGGUGGUAAAGUGGCUUGAUACGGGCAUUAUUUAUCCGAUUUCAGAUAGUGCAUGAGUGAGCCCCAUUCAAGUGGUACCAAAGAAAGGAGGUGUGAUGGUUGUGGAAAAUGAGGAUAAUGAGCUUAUACCUACUAGCCCCGUGACCGGUUGGAGGGUAUGCAUAGAUUACCGCAAGCUUAACAAGGUUACAAGGAAGGAUCACUUUCCUCUUCCUUUUAUUGAUCAAAUGCUUGAGCGGUUAGCAGGGUAUUCUCAUUAUUGUUUUUUGGAUGGGUAUUUAGGCUAUAAUCAAACUCCUAUAGCCCCAGAGGAUCAAGAGAAAACUAUCUUCACAUGCCCAUAUGGUAAAUUUGCAUAUAGAAGGAUGCCCUUUGGCCUUUGCAACGCACCCGCCACUUUCCAAAGGUGUAUGAUGGCUAUAUUCUCCGAUAUGGUGGAGAAAUGUAUUGAGGUUUUUAUGAAUGACUUCUCCGUAUUUGGGGCCUUAUUUGACGGAUGUUUGAGCAAUUUAGAGAUGGUGUUGAAAAGAUGUGAGGAGACAAAUUUAGUACUUAAUUGGGAAAAAUGUCAUUUCAUGGUCCAGGAAGACAUAGUUCUCGGCCAUCAGAUUUCACGUAAAGGGAUAGAGGUUGACAAUGCAAAAAUCCAAGACAUUGAGAAAUUACCUCCACCUACCUCGAUGACAGGGAUAAGGAGUUUUUUGGGACAUGCCGGAUUUUAUAGGAGGUUUAUCAAGGACUUCUCGAAGGUCACAAAGUCACUUUGCUCCUUACUUGAGAAAAACACUCCAUUUGAUUUUUCUCAAGAGUGCCUCCAUGCUUUUAACACUCUUAAAGAGAAACUCAUCACGGCUCCUAUCAUUGUAGCUCCGGAUUGGAAUUUACCAUUUGAAGUUAUGUACGAUGCAAGCGAUUAUGCCAUUGGAGCAGUUUUGGGGUAAAGGAGAAAUAAAAUUUUGCAUGUUAUUUACUAUGCUAGUUGGACUUUGACUGAUGUUCAACUGAACUAUGCCAUUACUGAAAAAGAGAUGCUCGCAGUGGUAUUUGCAUUUUAUAAAUUUCGAUCUUACCUCAUUGGAUCGAAAGUGAUGGUUUUCAUGGACCACUCAGCCCUCACGCAUUUGCUAGCAAAGAAAGAUGCCUAGCCUCGAUUAAUUAGAUGGGUCCUUCUUCUACAAGAGUUCGACUUGAAAAUUCACAAUAAAAAAGGGACCCUAAAUAUUGUUGCCGAUCAUUUGUCUCGACUUAAGCAAACCAAAGAGGUGGUGGAUGGGGAGAUAAAUGAGAUAUUUCCCGAUGAACAACUCUUGCAAAUUAUGCAUCUUUUACAAGCCACCCAUAUACCAUGGUAUGCGGACCAUGUGAACUUUCUUGCUAGUGGCAUCAUUUCCCCGGAUCUCUCUUACCAACAAAGGAAGAAGUUCUUCGCCGACAUCAAGCAUUAUUUUUGGGAUGACCCUUUGUUGUUCAAACGGGGCCCGGAUCAAAUUAUUCGGAGAUGUGUGCUGGAAGAUGAAAUGGAGCAAAUCCUUGAACAAUGUCAUUCCUGACCCUAUGGUGAUCACUUCGGGGCCGUGAAAACCGCAUCAAAGGUACUUCAAUCCGAUUUUUAUUGGCCCACAUUAUUCAAAGAUGCUCACACUUUUGUCUACAAGUGCGACAAAUGCCAACGCAGUGGUAAUAUUUCCAACCGAAAUGAAAUGCCUUUGAAUUCUAUAUUAGGGCUGGAAAUUUUUGAUUGUGGGGUAUUGAUUUUAUAGGACCUUUUCCUCCUUCAUUCUCAAAUCAAUACAUAUUGUUAGCGAUUGAUUACGUGUUAAAGUGGGUAGAUGCGGUGGCUUUGCCCGCUAAUGAUGCUCGGGUGGUAGUAAACUUUUUUAAAAGAAAAAUAUUUUCUCUCUCUAUGGCACUCCCCGAGCUAUCAUUAGUGAUGGAGGUAAACAUUUUUGUAAUCGCCUCUUCGACUCAGUAUUGACCAAAUAUGGAGUAAAGCAUCGUAUAGCCACUCCCUAUCAUCCCCAAACUAGUGGCCAAGUUGAAAUUUCGAAUCGGGAGUUGAAGAGAAUUUUUGAAUCGACGAUGAGUGCCUCUAGAAAAGAUUGGUCCAAGAAAUUGGAUGAUGCAUUAUGGGCUUAUCAUACUACGUUCAAAACGUCCAUUGGUAAGUCUCCCUAUCGUCUUUUGUUUGGGAAAGCUUGUCACCUCCCAGUAGAACUUGAGCAUCGAACUUAUUUGGCAGUAAAAGCUUUGAAUUUGAUGUGAAAUCCAAUUGAAUGAACUGGAUGAAGUCCACCUUGACUCUUAUGAGAAUGCUCAAAUUUACAAAGAAAAGACAAAGAAAUGGCAUGAUAAACACAUUGUGAAACACGAGUUCUUUGUUGGGCAACAAGUUCCUCUCUACAAUUCUCGACUCUGAUUCUUUCCCGGAAAGCUCCGCUCGAGAUGGUUUGGUCCUUUUACCAUUGCUAAGAUUUUUCCACAUGGAGCAAUUAACCUUCAUCAUGAGGAAAGGCGAAUUUCAAGGUUAACGGGCAACAAUUGAAACCAUACUUUGGAGGUGAUUUUUCUAAGGAAAAGUCCUCUAUUCCUCUUGCCAAUUGGAGUGAACAAGGCCUAUAGUCGAGCUAGGGACUAUAACCAAGCGCUUGUUGGGAGGCAACCCAACUUUCUUAUCCUUACACUUUUAUUUAUGUUACUUGUGAUUAAUACUUUUGUUAUUACAUUUUGAAUUAAUAGAAUUCUUUUGUAGGUCAAAAUUUUUGAAGUCCUAGCCACCUAUAGAUCUCAACAAGUUUGGGGGUGCAUGGUCCACUAAGUCAUAAACCAAAAAUUUGUCUACAACAUCCUUCAACAAACACCUAAUCAGGGAAGUUUUGUCAACCCUCUCUCUUUAUUUUGUAUUUAUGCACACAUCGAAGACAAUGUGUAGUUUAAGUUUGGGGGUGAUUGUGCUUGAAUUGGUGAUAUUGUAUUGAUAUGUUAGAUAGCCUUGGCAGCUUUCCAUGGUUUUGAUGUUUGAAAAUGUUAUUGAUUCAUGAGUUAUGCAUACAUGACCAAAAAUGCUAUUUGUGCGUAUUUUUUUUUCAAAAAAAUUGCUUAUCUAUUGUGAGAUUUUGAAUUACUUUGAGCACAAUAGUUAUGAUUAAUUGUUAUCUAGAUGUGAAAAAUUUUUGAUUGAAAGAUAUAUUUUUUUGAAUUGGUUGAACUAGGUUGUGACUUGUGAGUUGUUUGGAAAUUUUUGUCAAUCUAUAUUCUCUUUUGUUUCACUUUACCACAUUGUGAGAUAAGUUUGGGGGUGGUUGAGCCGAUGAAGGAGAUUAUCUAGAAGUGGGUGAUUUUGUGCAUGUUGAAAAUAUUUGUGUGGAGUGUCUUUUGUCGAGUAUAAGCUAGGUAAUGACUGUAUGCUAGGGAUCUAAGCCCCUUUUAAAAAAAAUGAAGUUAUUACACUUGUUAAAUCUUGGGCCUCACUUCGUAGCCUUUUUACUCGAGUUAUUAAGUCCAUAGGGGUAUUUUGAAACCCAAUACCCUUUGACCUAAACAACCGGGGAGUUGUCGACCCAAAACUCGCUACAAGGGUCAAGAAGAAAGCUUAAGAAAAUGAGGUAAAACAUGGGAUUCAACUAAAAAGAAAAAAAAUGUUAUUGAUAUUUGGCUUAGAUAACUAGUGGGUUUGAAUUGCUUAGUAUAAACUUGAAUGUGAAAGCACUCAUUAGUAGAGAAUCAUCACAUGACUAGAGAUUGAUAUUACCAGUUAGACCCAACCGAACUAGAGCGGGAAAAGAAAUGAGUGAAUUGAGAGCAGCCUUAGAUUUACACAUCGGGGAAAGAAAUGAAUAUUCAUUUGAGGAGUGUAAAUUUCAUGAGUGGGAAAGGAAAUAUUUGACCACAAAGGGUCGGGUUGGAGCCAAUUUGAAGAUUUUUCCGUCUUGACAAAUUUUUCCUAAUUUAGAUAAUGAUUGAAAGUGACUUUACACACACACACACCGAUCGAACAUUGGAUAAGCUUAAUUUAUUUUUGCUAGCAUUAUUUGGAGCAUAUUUGUGAAUUGAUUAUACAAUUUUACCCUCACUGAUAUUUUUGGCAAGCUAUUUAGUGUGUUAACAUCUUGCUCGGGACGAGCAAGAGUUUAAGUUUGGGUGUGUGAUAAGUGUAUUUUUGCACACUUAUUGGGCACUUAAUUUUAUAUAAUUAUUGAUUAAAUGAAUGAAAUUCCACUCACAAUUAUGUAAUAUUCGUUUUUGUAGGCUAAAAAUCACUCAAGUAAAGCGAACAAGACAAAAUAAGGAAAAUGGACUAAAAGCGUACACCAUUUAUGACGUUGGGCCAAGGAAAACAAGUCAAAAAGUGAAGGACCUUGGGGUGCAAUCUAUGGAGGGCAUAAUUGAAAGAAAAGUCAAAAUCUAGGGACCAAAUUGUACAAGAUCAAAGUUGAGGGACCUGAUGCGCAAUUAUCCUAGGGACUGAGCUGCAAAUUGACCAAAAUUCUGUAUUUUGGUUGCUGGACAGAUUCUUGGGUGCUGCCGCACCCUUUUUAUUUAAAAAGAAUCUUGGGAACCAUUUUGUCUUAUUUUCAAAACUUCAGUGACCAAAGCUGCAAUUUUCCUUAGGCUUUAAUGUUACAAACAGCAGCUGGGCAGAAUUCAGAGAAAAGAAUUCUGGGUCGCAGCUUCUGCCUGGGACAAUUCUGCUUCUUCUUUCUUUCAUUUUCUUUUCUUUUCUUUUUUUUUGCUUGGUAUUUUGGAGAUUCAAUAUAGAGCAACAAGGAGAUUACAUCAAGAAUUUGGCAAAGCUCUUGAAGAAUCAAGUCCAUGCUUCAAAAAAGGGUUUUAUCUAUAAACUUGUAUCUUCACAAUUAUUUUAUCAUAUUUGUAAUGUAUUGCUAUAAACAUUCUCCUUUCCAUUAUAUGUAUAAAAUGGGCUAAAUAUUUCGUUGAGAUUUAUGGUAGUAGUUUGACCUAGGUUUAAUUGAUUUUCAAUAUUUGCUAUUUGAUAUUAAAUUGCCUAUUUCCAUGUAUUUCUACUAUUGUAUUUAUUGUAUUUUUAUUUAUGUGGCCAAUGAAUGAAUAUAUUUCGUGAAACGUACAUAGUUCGAGAGAAGAUUGUGCAUUUUAGAUCAAAUGGUAGAAACUCCAAGUUUGUGUAAUGGAUAGAUAUAUACCUCUAGCCCUAGAUGAUCCAAUGAGCUAUUUUCAUAACAAUUUAAUGCGGUUGUUUGGUUGUAAUCGACAUAGAGAUAUAGUAGGUUAAACCAAUCAAUUAGGGUUAAUUUCACUCGAGAAAGGUAAUUAGCUAAAAUUGGAAAAUCGGGUCUAACAUCGUAAAUGAGUAAUUUGUUAAUUAGCAUGUGGAGAAAUUAAUUAGGCGACGGUUAAGCGAAACCAUGAAUCCCAACCACGUUUUCCUCCAAAAUUCCCAAGAUUUCCAUAUUUUCUUAGUUUGUAUGUUUUUU